AAAUAGAUUCACAGUAGCAUUGCCUUCUCUCGUCUCAUUCAUCUAUUGACAUUACAAACAAGCAUGCACUAAGAUCAGUUAAUUUGUGCUCAACUGUUUUAAUAGUGAUAUUGUUUGAUGAAUUUAUUUAAAUCAUGAGAGCUGUUUCGGUUUAAGCAAAGACGUUGUUUUAUGUUUCAUAUGUUUAGAGUAAUUUGUGUGUUAGGUCAUCUUCAUUUAAUUAAAGGUCUCUUAAAGGAGAACCAUCCGGUUGGUUUUUAAUUCCUCUUUCAUAGAUCCAGUUAUUUUAAAGGACUAGCACGACUAUUGUUUCUAUAUUUUGUGGUGAAUUGCCCAGUGCUCUUUUUGUAUUGUGUGUAUUAAUAUUAAUA